rnacentral:rRNA from 1 species
AUGGAGGCCUGCGAGAUCGUGCGCCUACCGGAGGAGCUCUUGACGGUGGCGCUCUCCCGCACGUCGCUGCGCGACGCCUGCUGCGCCGCGGCGAUCUCCCCGGCCUUCCGUGCCAUCGCCGACUCGGACGCCGUCUGGGCCUGCUUCCUGCCGCCGCUUGCUGACGUCCCGCCGCUGGCCGAUGGAGAGCCGCUGCCGGCGCGCGGGAAGAAGGACCUGUUCCUCCGCCUCUCCGGCAGAUCCGUCCUCCUUUUAGGCGGACUCAUGAGCAUGUGGCUGGACAGGGAGACCGGCGCCAAGGGGUCAAUAGCUCCUGUGCGACAUCUUUCGUGGGAAUUGGACGGAGAGGGACGUUGUGAAUGA